CGCACAGUAAACGAUGAAUACCAGCUGUUGGCGAUAGACAGUCAGCGGCGUAAGCGAAAGCGUUAAGUAUUCCACCUGGGGAGUACGCCGGCAACGGUGAAACUCAAAGGAAUUGACGGGGGCCCGCACAAGCGGAGGAACAUGUGGUUUAAUUCGAUGAUACGCGAGGAACCUUACCCGGGCUCAAACGGAAGAGGAGCGUGCGUGAAAGCGUGCGGUCCGCAAGGACCUCUUCCGAGGUGC
rnacentral:rRNA from 1 species